rnacentral:rRNA from 1 species
CACGUAGGCGGUAGGAUGUGUGUGAUGUGAAAGCCCCGGGCUCAACCUGGGAAGUGCAUCGCAAACUAUCUAACUAGAGUAGAUGAGAGGGUGGCGGAAUUUCCAGUGUAGCGGUGAAAUGCGUAGAGAUUGGAAGGAACGUCAAUGGCGAAGGCAGCCACCUGGCAUCAUACUGACGCUGAGGUGCGAAAGCGUGGGGAGCGAACA